CUGGGCUAGCUGGCAGACUCCAUCUAAAAGGAAGACAGUAUCGUUUACAUCUUCAAGCCUUUAGACUAAGAUUCAUAGUGUUUCUACUAUUGCUUUUGGGAUGAAACACUUUGAUUUCUAGAACAAACCUUACAGCUCAUUUGAACAUUCCACUCAGCUGAACGGAAUGUUUUGAGAUGAUGCUGUCAUUCGUUUUAUUUUGUUUUGGAAUAGAGUCUCAUACCAGCCUUGAGUUUGAGAGCCUCCUACCUCGGCCUCCCGAGUGCUGGGAUGACAGAUAUGCACCACCAUGCCUGGCUCACGUUAGGGUGUUUUUGGAAAUGCAGCAUAAUAUAAUACAGAAACAAACAGUCAAAUUUCAGUUCAGGUCUAAUACCAGCAACAUAAGAUUGCCAUUACAAGGCGUCAUUGUUCCUACACAGCCCCGUUGUUUCUGUUCUGUCUCCCAAGGCAGAGAGCACACGAAUGCCAAAAAAUGAAUGAAGCAUAUAGAACGAUGAGAGAGCCCUGGCUACUAUAGAGCUGGCUGGAGAGUCAAUAUGAAUGAACUCUGGUUCACCAAAGAGAUCUCACUAAUGUGUAAAUGGACCUUGCCUGCGUCCGCGAAGCCGAGCAGAUCUCCACGCACUGAGCAUCCAGAUAGUCGUGCCGCACACCGAUGGAGCAGAGUGGACAUGGGCAGAGCUAUGGUGGUCAAACUGGGGCUGGGGUUGCUGCUUCUGGCACUGCUCCUACCCAUGCAGAUUUAUUGCAACUAAACAUCUGUUGCACUGUUUUCAAGUAACCAGAGUAUCUCUACUGCCCCAAAUCCAACUAAUGCCACCACCAGAGUAGGUGACAGUGCCCUGCAGUCAACAGCUGGUCUCCUUGCCAUCUCACUUUCUCUUCUACAUUUCUACUGUUAGAGACUCAGUCCAAGAAACAUCUCUACUUCCCCAUCUUCUAGACCCAGGCCAAAUGGUAACCACAAGUCCAGUGUGACCCGGAAGAAACAGGUCCACAUCAAAUCUACUAUUACCACACCUCAACAGAAAACAUUGAAAAUUCAUGUGAAGGGUAUGACAGAUGAUGAAUGCCAUAUUGAAUCCGCUGGAGUUUUAUGUUCAAGAUGAACUGAUAACAUCCAACAUUGACAUGAUUGCCUUGAACGAGGCUUAGGACACUUGGUCUACAUUGAAAUCAAGCAUAGGUUUUAUGUAGAAAUAAGGAUGGAAUGUGGGAUGAAGAUUCAGUUUUCAUUGGCUCAUUACCUGUGAGGCCAUAACACAGCUAGGUGAUAUUAAAGGUUUCUUUGAUGUUAUUUAUGUAUAUGUUGGAAGGAACUACCAGGUGUUACUUUAAAUUCUCAAUGUAUUGUUUCAUUACUACUAAUUUAAUAUGCUGAACUCUAGGUAAAGUUCCACAUUGUUGAGCUGUUCUCUUGAAAUUGAACAUAUUACCCCCUCCUUCUGUGGCUUUAAGUUCAGCUUAUAUUUGACCUUUAUUAGUAAUUGACAUGUGCCAGGCAACUAUGGAUUGGAAUCGACCCCCAAAUCCAGCCAUCACUGAAUAAAUCUUAUUUCAAAAGUCAAAUAGUAGGCAUUUUCCAUCAUCUUUUUUCACUCAACAAGAGUGCCAGGUUCACUUAACUGGUUCCAUCAGCAGAAUUACAUUGACUUCAGCCAAUUUCAGUUGCUGCUUUUUAUUUCUGCAUAUGUUGAGGGGUUUUCAUGAUUUAAGGUGUGGUAUGUUAGGAAGGUAAAAUUAUGAAUCUUGAAAUCCUAAAGGCAAAUAUGCAAAGGAGCCAAAACAAUAAACCUAGUAUUUGGGACAUGAAGACUGGAUGCUAACUUGCAUUGAAUUCACAAAGUCUUUUAUACAAUUUCUGUAAAUACUUUUUUUUAAAAAAAAAGAGAAAAACAAAACAAUGGAUCAGAAUAGCCACAUUUGGAAUACUUUGGUUAUCAGUUCAUAUUUUUAGAUAGUUUGACAUUGGUCCUGUGCCUGAAAGGGGGUUUGGUUCUACAGUUAAGUUUUUCCAACAGCCCUCAUAUACACAUACCUUCUAUAACAUAGACAUUCCUUGGAAAAAAACCUUUUGUUCGCAUGGUCACACACUGAUGCUUACACAUUCUGGGAUCUAAUAUGGCCACAGUAGUCUUGAUAACCAGAGUCACUUUCUCCAUCUUUAGAAACCCACAAGGAGAACAAGGAGACCUCAGACCCGAAGCUACUGUGUGUGUGAAUGAACAUUCCUCUCACCUCCUACCUGAAUGCUGUACGUCUAUUUGAUUGUAUAUUGUGUUUGUGUAUUUAUGCUUUGAUUCAUGGUAACUUCUCAUGUUAUGGAAUUGAUUUGCAUUGAACACAAACUGUAAAUAAAGCAAAGAAAUGGCUGAAAAAAAAAGAAUGU
rnacentral:lncRNA from 1 species